UUUCCGUAGGUGAACCUGCGGAAGGAUCAUUAACACAAAAUUUUAUUAUCCACUUACUGAUUAGUUAUUCUUUUUUUUUCCUUUGGGUAAAACCAAGAAAAAAAGAAGGUAGCUCUUCAGCAAGCACCGUGAAAUGUUGAAGUUCUUAACUUUUUUUUAAUAAAAAGUUAAAAAAUUAUUUCUUAUAAAACCCAGUCUAAAAUUACAAUUUUUUAAAUAAAGCAAGAGUUAUAAAGAAAAAGGGUAACCUUUUUUUUUAUUAUUCGAGUAACAAAAAAAAUUACUUUUAUAACCGAGACACAACUUUUAACAACGGAUAUCUUGGUUCUC
rnacentral:misc_RNA from 1 species